GGUGGAGAGUCGGGCAUGGAUAUAGUGGGGUUGGGGGGGUCAGAAUCUCUGAUCAUCAUUCGUUAAAAAACUAACAAAUUAAAAGUGACAGCAUAAACUUUUGUAAUGAAAUCUUGGGCACUGAUCCUUCUAUCUGAUAAUUUAUGGCAUAACCUUAGAAAGCAACAAGUGGAGUAACAUAAGGGGACAUGUUAAUAUCAAAUAUAUCUGCUCUGGUAGAGAACAUAUUAGGCACUUAACCAAUUGGGCCAUUGUGCUGAAAUCCAUGUAUUGAAAGCCUAAGUAUUUCUUGGGCUGACCCACGUGAGACAACCUCGACUUGCUAAGCUUAAUCACUCCAAAAAGCAAAUAUGUAUCCAUAGAUUC
rnacentral:lncRNA from 1 species